AAAAUUCCAAUCUUAUACGUUCAAUUCAAGUCAAAAUUAUUCAGGAGUCAACUCCUAAUUUCAUUCCAAAACCAUGUAUUCCAAUACAUAUAUACACAUUCAAAUUACAUCAAGUUCAUGUUGCAUUACAAGUAUCAUUAAAAAGCCUUAAGUUGUACCAUGUACAAGUUACACAAGAAAAUGGUUACACGAAAAGAAACCAUGACAAAAUUUCAAGCCAAUGUAGACCAAGUCCUUGCAUUCCAAGCUCGGAUUCUCAAAAUGUCCAUAAAAAAGGGGCCAUUUGAUCCACCUGCACAAGAUCACAAAAGAGGCCAAUGAUCACAAUCUUUUCCAAAAAAUUUCCACAGCAAAAAGAUCCAUUUUCCUAUCUACAUGAGAGAACCAUUCCAUUUAAAAAUUCCUGCAUAAAAAGAAAACUUCAAGCAGAACCUGCAUAAUUUCCAUGACAGUAAAGUUACCUUGCCCAACAAACUAGCUGCUCACACAAACCGAUUUGUAGCAAACUUUUACAUCAUAACAGAAAUCCCUAACCAACAUCUAACAAAAUUUCAAAAUGGCAACCGAAGCUCCUCAUAACAGAACCAAAAAACCUGCAAAUGGGAUUCAAUCAACUUCUAAAAUUGAAACCAACCCAUAACAGAAUGAGAACUCUCUAACAACAACCUACAUAAUCUUCCAAAAACUCCUCAUAACUCCCCUCACCUUCACCCUUACUCCCCUAACCACAUCCAAGAACCGACAACAAUUUUAAAACCUCACCUCUCAACAACCGCCGUAAGGAGAUUGACAGAACUCCCAGAACAAACAAAAAUCACUCACAAACCUCAACACAAACGAACUCCAGAACCGAAUCUCCAAUCUCCCCUAACCAAUUUCCAGAAGCUCAACAACUACUGGCCCAUAAAGAAAGAGAAGGUAGAGAAUAGAAUUAACAGAAACACGCAGAAGAAAGGGAAGAAUAGAAAAAGGGACUCACAUGUUCAUGUCCUUUCCGAAGGUAUAACAGGAGGAGCAUACCAAAGUGCAGUGCACGUUACGCCUCCAUCUUCAUCGCAAUCAUGAACAACAAUAUCAUCAUCAACAACACGGAAACAUGAAAAUUGCAUGGAGGGAUUCAGGUCGCUCGUGAAUAGGACCCAAGCGCCAACGAUGAGAGUUUUUUGUUUUUGUUUUCGACAUCAACGUUUUCUUAUGUUGCUUUCGUGUUGCUGCGUGCGAUGUUUGGAUAUAAUUUCUUCAUAUUGCGUUGAUACAUUGGGUCACGGUGGAGUAAACAUGGCAUGAUGUAGGGUCCAGAUCGUGUGUGUGGAAACUUG
rnacentral:lncRNA from 1 species